rnacentral:lncRNA from 1 species
GGGGGCUGAUUUUUGGGCGCGGCUGUGCCCGUGGCCUAUUUUUGGAUCACCGAGGCCGCCCGCCAAGUAUGGUGCCAUUCCGAGUCCCGCGGACGAACUUCGCCCACGCCCCCCACCAAGGCUAUAGCCCACGCGAUUUUUGGCCAUUUUUCCGCUGGGGGGUCUUGGGACCCCGACCUUCGGGGGCUGAUUUUUGGGCGAGGCUGUGCCCUUGGCCUAUUUUUGGCACACGGAGGCCGCCCGCCAAGUCUGGGGCCAUUCCGAGUCCCGCGGACGAACUUCGCCCACGCCCCCCACCAAGGCUAUAGCCCACCCGUUUUUGGCCAUUUUUCCGCUGGGGGGUCUUGGGACCCCGACCUUCGGGGGCUGAUUUUUGGGCGCGGCUGUGCCCGUGGCCUAUUUUUGGCACACAGAGGCCGCCUGCCAAGUAUGGUGCCAUUCCGAGUCCCGCGGACGAACUUCGCCCACGCCCCCCACCAAGGCUAUAUACCCCACGCGUUUUUUGGCCAUUUUUCCGCUGGGGGGUCUUGGGACCCCGACCUUCGGGGGCGGAUUUUUGGGCCCGGCUGUGCCCGUGGCCUAUUUUUGGCACACAGAGGCCGCCCGCCAAGUAUGGUGCCAUUCCGAGUCCCGCGGACGAACUUCGCCCACGCCCCCGACCAAGGCUAUAGUCCACCCGUUUUUUGGCCAUUUUUCCGCUGGGGGGUCUUGGGACCCCGACCUUCGGGGGCUGAUUUUUGGGCGCGGCUGUGCCCGUGGCCUAUUUUUGGCACACGGAGGCCGCCCGCCAAGUAUGGUGCCAUUCCGAGUCCCGCGGACGAACUUCGCCCACGCCCCCCACCAAGGCUAUAGCCCACGCGUUUUUUGGCCAUUUUUCCGCUGGGGGGUCUUGGGACCCCGACCUUCGGGGGCUGAUUUUUGGGCGCGGCUGUGCCCGUGGCCUAUUUUUGGCACACGGAGGCCGCCCGCCAAGUAUGGUGCCAUUCCGAGUCCCGCGGACGAACUUCGCCCACGCCCCCCACCAAGGCUAUAGCCCACGCGUUUUUUGGCCAUUUUUCCGCUGGGGGGUCUUGGGACCCCGACCUUCGGGGGCUGAUUUUUGGGCGCGGCUGUGCCCGUGGCCUAUUUUUGGCACACGGAGGCCGCCCGCCAAGUCUGGGGCCAUUCCGGGUCCCGCGGACGAACUUCGCCCACGCCCCCCACCAAGGCUAUAUCCCACGCGUUUUUUGGCCAUUUUUCCGCUGGGGGGUCUUGGGACCCCGACCUUCGGGGGCUGAUUUUUGGGCGCGGCUGUGCCCGUGGCCUAUUUUUGGCACACGGAGGCCGCCCGCCAAGUAUGGUGCCAUUCCGAGUCCCGCGGACGAACUUCGCCCACGCCCCCCACCAAGGCUAUAGCCCACCCGUUUUUUGGCCAUUUUUCCGCUGGGGGGUCUUGGGACCCCGACCUUCGGGGGCUGAUUUUUGGGCGCGGCUGUGCCCGUGGCCUAUUUUUGGCACACGGAGGCCGCCCGCCAAGUAUGGUGCCAUUCCGAGUCCCGCGGACGAACUUCGCCCACGCCCCCCACCAAGGCUAUAGCCCACCCGUUUUUUGGCCAUUUUUCCGCUGGGGGGUCUUGGGACCCCGACCUUCGGGGGCUGAUUUUUGGGCGCGGCUGUGCCCGUGGCCUAUUUUUGGCACACAGAGGCCGCCCGCCAAGUAUGGUGCCAUUCCGAGUCCCGCGGACGAACUUCGCCCACGCCCCCCACCAAGGCUAUAGCCCACGCGUUUUUUGGCCUUUUUUCCGCUGGGGGGUCUUGGGACCCCGACCUUCGGGGGCUGAUUUUUGGGCGCGGCUGUGCCCGUGGCCUAUUUUUGGCACACCGAGGCCGCCCGCCAAGUAUGGUGCCAUUCCGAGUCCCGCGGACGAACUUCGCCCACGUCCCCCACCAAAGCUAUAGCCCACGCGUUUUUUGGCCAUUUUUCCGCUGGGGGGUAUUGGGACCCCGACCUUCGGGGGCUGAUUUUUGGGCGCGGCUGUGCCCGUGGCCUAUUUUUGGCACACAGAGGCCGCCCGCCAAGUAUGGUGCCAUUCCGAGUCCCGCGGACGAACUUCGCCCACGCCCCCCACCAAGGCUAUAGCGCACCCGUUUUUUGGCCAUUUUUCCGCCGGGGGGUCUUGGGACCCCGACCUUCGGGGGCUGAUUUUUGGGCGCGGCUGUGCCCGUGGCCUAUUUUUAGCACACGGAGGCCGCCCGCCAAGUAUGGUGCCAUUCCGAGUCCCGCGGACGAACUUCGCCCACGCCCCCCACCAAGGCUAUAGCCCACGCGUUUUUUGACCAUUUUUCCGCUGGGGGGUCUUGGGACCCCGACCUUCGGGGGCUGAUUUUUGGGCGCGGCUGUGCCCGUGGCCUAUUUUUGGCACACCGAGGCCGCCCGCCAAGUAUGGUGCCAUUCCGAGUCCCGCGGACGAACUUCGCCCACGCCCCCCACCAAGGCUAUAGCCCACGCGUUUUUUGACCAUUUUUCCGCUGGGGGGUCUUGGGACCCCGACGUUCGGGGGCUGAUUUUUGGGCGCGGCUGUGCCCGUGGCCUAUUUUUGGCACACGGAGGCCGCCCGCCAAGUAUGGUGCCAUUCCGAGUCCCACGGACGAACUUCGCCCACGCCCCCCACCAAGGCUAUAGCCCACGCGUUUUUUGGCCAUUUUUCCGCUGGGGGGUCUUGGGACCCCGACCUUCGGGGGCUGAUUUUUGGGCGCGGCUGUUCCCGUGGCCUAUUUUUGGCACACAGAGGCCGCCCGCCAAGUAUGGUGCCAUUCCGAGUCCCGCGGACGAACUUCGCCUACGCCCCCCACCAAGGCUAUAGCCCACCCUUUUUUUGGCCAUUUUUCCGCUGGGGGGUCUUGGGACCCCGACCUUCGGGGGCUGAUUUUUGGGCGCGGCUGUGCCCGUGGCCUAUUUUUGGCACACGGAGGCCGCCCGCCAAGUCUGGGGCCAUUCCGAGUCCCGCGGACGAACUUCGCCCACGCCCCCCACCAAGGCUAUAGCCCACCCUUUUUUUGGCCAUUUUUCCGCUGGGGGGUCUUGGGACCCCGACCUUCGGGGGCUGAUUUUUGGGCGCGGCUGUGCACGUGGCCUAUUUUUGGCACACAGAGGCCGCCCGCCAAGUAUGGUGCCAUUCCGAGUCCCGCGGACGAACUUCGCCCACGCCCCCCACCAAGGCUAUAGCCCACGCGUUUUUUGGCCAUUUUUCCGCUGGGGGGACUUGGGACCCCGACCUUCGGGGGCUGAUUUUUGGGCGCGGCUGUGCCCGUGGCCUAUUUUUGGCACACAGAGGCCGCCCGCCAAGUCUGGUGCCAUUCAGAGUCCCGCGGACGAACUUCGCCCACGCCCCCCACCAAGGCUAUAGCCCACGCGUUUUUUGGCCAUUUUUCCGCUGGGGGGUCUUGGGACCCCGACCUUCGGGGGCUGAUUUUUGGGCGCGGCUGUGCCCGUGGCCUAUUUUUGGCACACGGAGGCCGCCCGCCAAGUAUGGUGCCAUUCCGAGUCCCGCGGACGAACUUCGCCCACGCCCCCCACCAAGGCUAUAGCCCACCCGUUUUUUGGCCAUUUUUCCGCUGGGGGGUCUUGGGACCCCGACCUUCGGGGGCUGAUUUUUGGGCGCGGCUGUGCCCGUGGCCUAUUUUUGGCACACAGAGGCCGCCCGCCUAGUAUGGUGCCAUUCCGAGUCCCGCGGACGAACUUCGCCCACGCCCCCCACCAAGGCUAUAGCCCACCCGUUUUUUGGCCAUUUUUCCGCUGGGGGGUCUUGGGACCCCGACCUUCGGGGGCUGAUUUUUGGGCGCGGCUGUGCCCGUGGCCUAUUUUUGGCACACAGAGGCCGCCCGCCAAGUAUGGUGCCAUUCCGAGUCCCGCGGACGAACUUCGCCCACGCCCCCCACCAAGGCUAUAGCCCACCCGUUUCUUGGCCAUUUUUCCGCUGGGGGGUCUUGGGACCCCGACCUUCGGGGGCUGAUUUUUGGGCGCGGCUGUGCCCGUGGCCUAUUUUUGGCACACCGAGGCCGCCCGCCAAGUAUGGUGCCAUUCCGAGUCCCGCGGACGAACUUCGCCCACGCCCCCCACCAAGGCUAUAGCCCACGCGUUUUUUGGCCAUUUUUCCGCUGGGGGGUCUUGGGACCCCGACCUUCGGGGGCUGAUUUUUGGGCGCGGCUGUGCCCGUGGCCUAUUUUUGGCACACAGAGGCCGCCCGCCAAGUAUGGUGCCAUUCCGAGUCCCGCGGACGAACUUCGCCCACGCCCCCCACCAAGGCUAUAGCGCACCCGUUUUUUGGCCAUUUUUCCGCCGGGGGGUCUUGGGACCCCGACCUUCGGGGGCUGAUUUUUGGGCGCGGCUGUGCCCGUGGCCUAUUUUUAGCACACGGAGGCCGCCCGCCAAGUAUGGUGCCAUUCCGAGUCCCGCGGACGAACUUCGCCCACGCCCCCCACCAAGGCUAUAGCCCACGCGUUUUUUGACCAUUUUUCCGCUGGGGGGUCUUGGGACCCCGACCUUCGGGGGCUGAUUUUUGGGCGCGGCUGUGCCCGUGGCCUAUUUUUGGCACACCGAGGCCGCCCGCCAAGUAUGGUGCCAUUCCGAGUCCCGCGGACGAACUUCGCCCACGCCCCCCACCAAGGCUAUAGCCCACGCGUUUUUUGACCAUUUUUCCGCUGGGGGGUCUUGGGACCCCGACGUUCGGGGGCUGAUUUUUGGGCGCGGCUGUGCCCGUGGCCUAUUUUUGGCACACGGAGGCCGCCCGCCAAGUAUGGUGCCAUUCCGAGUCCCACGGACGAACUUCGCCCACGCCCCCCACCAAGGCUAUAGCCCACGCGUUUUUUGGCCAUUUUUCCGCUGGGGGGUCUUGGGACCCCGACCUUCGGGGGCUGAUUUUUGGGCGCGGCUGUGCCCGUGGCCUAUUUUUGGCACACGGAGGCCGCCCGCCAAGUAUGGUGCCAUUCUGAGUCCCGCGGACGAACUUCGCCCACGCCCCCCACCAAGGCUAUAGCCCACCCGUUUUUUGGCCAUUUUUCCGCUGGGGGGUCUUUGGACCCCGACCUUCGGGGGCUGAUUUUUGGGCGCGGCUGUGCCCGUGGCCUAUUUUUGGCACACAGAGGCCGCCCGCCUAGUAUGGUGCCAUUCCGAGUCCCGCGGACGAACUUCGCCCACGCCCCCCACCAAGGCUAUAGCCCACGCGUUUUUUGGCCUUUUUUCCGCUGGGGGGUCUUGGGACCCCGACCUUCGGGGGCUGAUUUUUGGGCGCGGCUGUGCCCGUGGCCUAUUUUUGGCACACAGAGGCCGCCCGCCAAGUAUGGUGCCAUUCCGAGUCCCGCGGACGAACUUCGCCCACGCCCCCCACCAAGGCUAUAGCCCACGCGUUUUUUGGCCAUUUUUCCGCUGGGGGGUUUUGGGACCCCGACCUUCGGGGGCUGAUUUUUGGGCGUGGCUGUGCCCGUGGCCUAUUUUUGGCACACGGAGGCCGCCCGCCAAGUAUGGUGCCAUUCCGAGUCCCGCGGACGAACUUCGCCCACGCCCCCCACCAAGGCUAUAGCCCACCCGUUUUUUGGCCAUUUUUCCGCUGGGGGGUCUUGGGACCCCGACCUUCGGGGGCUGAUUUUUGGGCGCGGCUGUGCCCGUGGCCUAUUUUUGGCACACAGAGGCCGCCCGCCAAGUAUGGUGCCAUUCCGAGUCCCGCGGACGAACUUCGCCCACGCCCCCCACCAAGGCUAUAGCCCACGCGUUUUUUGGCCUUUUUUCCGCUGGGGGGUCUUGGGACCCCGAUCUUCGGGGGCUGAUUUUUGGGCGCGGCUGUGCCCGUGGCCUAUUUUUCGCAAACAGAGGCCGCCCGCCAAGUAUGGUGCCAUUCCGAGUCCCGCGGACGAACUUCGCCCACGCCCCCCACCAAGGCUAUAGCCCACGCGUUUUUUGGCCAUUUUUCCGCUGGGGGGUCUUGGGACCCCGACCUUCGGGGGCUGAUUUUUGGGCGCGGCUGUGCCCGUGGCCUAUUUUUGGAACACCGAGGCCGCCCGCCAAGUGUGGUGCCAUUCCGAGUCCCGCGGACGAACUUCGCCCACGCCCCCCACCAAGGCUAUAGCCCAUGCGUUUUUUGGCCUUUUUUCCGCUGGGGGGUCUUGGGACCCCGACCUUCGGGGGCUGAUUUUUGGGCGCGGCUGUGCCCGUGGCCUAUUUUUGGCACACAGAGGCCGCCCGCCAAGUAUGGUGCCAUUCCGAGUCCCGCGGACGAACUUCGCCCACGCCCCCCACCAAGGCUAUAGCCCACGCGUUUUUUGGCCAUUUUUCCGCUGGGGGGUCUUGGGACCCCGACCUUCGGGGGCUGAUUUUUGGGCGCGGCUGUGUCCGUGGCCUAUUUUUGGCACACAGAGGCCGCCCGCCAAGUAUGGUGCCAUUCCGAGUCCCGCGGACGAACUUCGCCCACGCCCCCCACCAAGGCUAUAGCCCACCCGUUUUUUGGCCAUUUUUCCGCUGGGGGGUCUUGGGACCCCGACCUUCGGGGGCUGAUUUUUGGGCGCGGCUGUGCCCGUGGCCUAUUUUUGGCACACAGAGGCCGCCCGCCAAGUAUGGUGCCAUUCCGAGUCCCGCGGACGAACUUCGCCCACGCCCCCCACCAAGGCUAUAGCCCACGCGUUUUUUGGCCAUUUUUCCGCUGGGGGGUCUUGGGACCCCGACCUUCGGGGGCUGAUUUUUGGGCGCGGCUGUGCCCGUGGCCUAUUUUUGGCACACGCAGGCCGCCCGCCAAGUAUGGUGCAAUUCCGAGUCCCGCGGACGAACUUCGCCCACGCCUCCCACCAAGGCUAUAGCCCACCCCGUUUUUGGCCAUUUUUCCGC